AUUCCAGCUCCAAUAGCGUAUAUUAAAGUUGUUGCAGUUAAAAAGCUCGUAGUUGGAUUUCUGUUUCUGGGAUCUGGUCCGCCUCACGGUGAGCACUGGAUAACUGGGGACAUCCUCUCGAAGGCGGCGGGUGCACUUGAUUGUGUGUUUGUUGAAUUCGGGACCUUUACUUUGAAAAAAUUAGAGUGUUCAAAGCAGGCGUCGGCUUGAAUACAUUAGCAUGGAAUAAUGGAAUAGGACUUUGGUUCUAUUUUGUUGGUUUCUAGGACCGAAGUAAUGAUUAAUAGGGACAGUUGGGGGCAUUAGUAUUUAAUUGUCAGAGGUGAAAUUCUUGGAUUUAUGAAAGACUAACUACUGCGAAAGCAUUUGCCAAGGAUGUUUUCAU
rnacentral:rRNA from 1 species